rnacentral:rRNA from 1 species
GACGAACGCUGGCGGCGUGCCUAAUACAUGCAAGUAGAACGCUGAAGGAGGAGCUUGCUUCUCUGGAUGAGUUGCGAACGGGUGAGUAACGCGUAAGUAACCUGCCUGGUAGCGGGGGAUAACUAUUGGAAACGAUAGCUAAUACCGCAUAAGAGUAGAUGUUGCAUGACAUUUGCUUAAAAGUUGCAAUUGCAUCACUACCAGAUGGACCUGCGUUGUAUUAGCUAGUUGGUGGGGUAACGGCUUACCAAGGCGACGAUACAUAGCCGACCUGAGAGGGGGAUCGGCCAGACUGGGACUGAGACACGGCCCAGAGGCAUACGGGAGGCAGCAGUAGGGAUUCUUCGGCAAUGGACGGGAGUCUGACCGAGCAACGCCGCGUGAGUGAAGAAGGUCUUCGGAUCGUAAAGCUCUGUUGUAAGAGAAGAACGAGUGUGAGAGUGGAAAGUUCACACUGUGACGGUAUCUUACCAGAAAGGGCCGGCUAACUACGUG